GAUGAACGCUGGCGGCGUGCCUAAUACAUGCAAGGCGAGCGAACAGACGAGGAGCUUGCUCCUCUGACGUUAGCGGCGGACGUGUGAGUAACACGUGGAUAACCUACCUAUAAGACUGGGAUAACUUCGGGAAACCGGAGCUAAUACCGGAUAAUAUAUUGAACCGCAUGGUUCAAUAGUGAAAGACGGUUUUGCUGUCACUUAUAGAUGGAUCCGCGCCGCAUGAGCUAGUUGGUAAGGUAACGGCUUACCAAGGCAACGAUGCGUAGCCGACCUGAGAGCGUGCAGGCCCAGACUAGAACUGAGACACGGUCCAGACUCCCACGGGAGGCAGACGUAGGGCAUCAUCCGCACUGCGCGACAGCCUGACGGAGCACCGCCGCGCGAGUGAUGAAGGUCCUCGCAUAGUAAAACUCUGUUCUUCGCGAAGAAGACAUGUGUAAGUCACUAGGCACGUCUCGAUGGUACCCAAUAAGGACGCCACGGCCAAAUACGUG
rnacentral:rRNA from 1 species